rnacentral:rRNA from 2 species
AACGACUCUCGGCAACGGAUAUCUCGGCUCUCGCAUCGAUGAAGAACGUAGCGAAAUGCGAUACUUGGUGUGAAUUGCAGAAUCCCGUGAACCAUCGAGUCUUUGAACGCAAGUUGCGCCCGAAACCUUAGGGUCGAGGGCACGCCUGCCUGGGCGUCACGC